UACGUAGGGGGCUAGCGUUGUCCGGAAUCAUUGGGCGUAAAGGGUGCGUAGGCGGCGCGGUAAGUCGGGUGUGAAAUCUCGGAGCUUAACUCCGAAACUGCAUUCGAUACUGCCGUGCUUGAGGACUGGAGAGGAGACUGGAAUUUACGGUGUAGCGGUGAAAUGCGUAGAUAUCGUAAGGAAGACCAGUGGCGGAAGGCGGG
rnacentral:rRNA from 1 species